rnacentral:pre_miRNA from 1 species
UUAACUCGAAUUUGUAAGGAGUCAGCACGUUUGCCUAUGUUUGCCGCUAGGGGCGCUGUUACAACUCCAUACAAAUUUUAGUUA